rnacentral:rRNA from 1 species
GACGAACGCUGGCGGCGUGCCUAAUACAUGCAAGUCGAACGCUUCUUUCCUCCCGAGUGCUAGCACUCAAUUGGAAAGAGGAGUGGCGGACGGGUGAGUAACACGUGGGUAACCUACCCAUCAGAGGGGGAUAACACUUGGAAACAGGUGCUAAUACCGCAUAACAGUUUAUGCCGCAUGGCAUAAGGGUGAAAGGCGCUUUCGGGUGUCGCUGAUGGAUGGACCCGCGGUGCAUUAGCUAGUUGGUGAGGUAGCGGCUCACCAAGGCCACGAUGCAUAGCCGACCUGAGAGGGUGAUCGGCCACACUGGGACUGAGACACGGCCCAGACUCCUACGGGAGGCAGCAGUAGGGAAUCUUCGGCAAUGGACGGAAGUCUGACCGAGCAACGCCGCGUGAGUGAAGAAGGUUUUCGGAUCGUAAAACUCUGUUGUUAGAGAAGAACAAGGACGUUAGUAACUGAACGUCCCCUGACGGUAUCUAACCAGAAAGCCACGGCUAACUUCGUGCCAGCCGCCGCCGUAA